rnacentral:rRNA from 1 species
GUGCCAGCCGCGGUAAUACCGGCAGCACGAGUGAUGGCCGAUAUUAUUGGGCCUAAAGCGUCCGUAGCUGGCCGGACAAGUCCGUUGGGAAAUCCACGUGCCUAACACGUGGGCGUCCAGCGGAAACUGCACAGCUUGGGACCGGAAGGCUCGAAGGGUACGUUCGGGGUAGGAGUGAAAUCCUAUAAUCCCGCACGGACCACCGAUGGCGAAAGCACUUCGAGAAAACGGAUCCGACAGUGAGGGACGAAAGCCAGGGUCUCCAACCGGAUUAGAAACCCUGGUAGUCC